rnacentral:rRNA from 1 species
CACGUAGGGUGCGAGCGUUGUCCGGAAUUAUUGGGCGUAAAGAGCUCGUAGGCGGUGUGUCGCGUCGGCCGUGAAAACCUGCAGCUUAACUGUGGGCUUGCGGUCGAUACGGGCAUCACUGGAGUUCGGCAGGGGAGACUGGAAUUCCUGGUGUAGCGGUGGAAUGCGCAGAUAUCAGGAGGAACACCAAUAGCGAAGGCAGCUCGCUGGGACGGUACUGACGCUAAGGCGCGAAAGCGUGGGGAGCGAACAGG